rnacentral:rRNA from 1 species
AUUGAACGCUGGCGGCAUGCCUUACACAUGCAAGUCGAACGGCAGCACGGGAGCAAUCCUGGUGGCGAGUGGCGAACGGGUGAGUAAUACAUCGGAACGUGCCCAGUAGUGGGGGAUAACCCGGCGAAAGCCGGACUAAUACCGCAUACGACCUACGGGUGAAAGCAGGGGAUCGCAAGACCUUGCGCUAUCGGAGCGGCCGAUGUCAGAUUAGCUUGUUGGCGGGGAAAAGCCCACCAAGGCGACGAUCUGUAGCUGGUCUGAGAGGACGACCAGCCACACUGGGACUGAGACACGGCCCAGACUCCUACGGGAGGCAGCAGUGGGGAAUUUUGGACAAUGGGCGCAAGCCUGAUCCAGCCAUGCCGCGUGCGGGAAGAAGGCCUGGU